rnacentral:rRNA from 1 species
CGGGGCUCGAGUGCAACUCCACCCUGUGCAACGAACCAAACAGUUGCUUCGGCACGACGCCCCUCACCGGGCAGGCUGCCGAGGGCCUACAAACACCUGUAUUUUUGGCAUCUCUGAGUAACUUACCAAUAAGUUAAAACUUUCAACAACGGAUCUCUUGGUUCUGGCAUCGAUGAAGAACGCAGCGAAAUGCGAUACGUAAUGUGAAUUGCAGAAUUCAGUGAAUCAUCGAAUCUUUGAACGCACAUUGCGCCCGCCAGUAUUCUGGCGGGCAUGCCUGUUCGAGCGUCAUUUCAACCAUCAAGCCCCAGGCUUGUGUUGGGGCCCUGCGGCCGUCCGCAGCCCUCUAAAAGCAGUGGCGGGCUCGCUAUCACACCGAGUGCAGUAGUUUACUCUUCGCUCAGGGCGUGUGGCGGGUUCCAGCCGUUAAAACCCCUACUUCUUAAGGUUGACCUCGGAUCAGGUAGGAAUACCCGCUGAACUUAAGCAUAUCAAA